rnacentral:rRNA from 1 species
AUUGAACGCUGGCGGCAUGCCUUACACAUGCAAGUCGAACGGUAACGGGCCUUCGGGUGCCGACGAGUGGCGAACGGGUGAGUAAUACAUCGGAACGUGCCCGAUCGUGGGGGAUAACGAGGCGAAAGCUUUGCUAAUACCGCAUACGAUCUACGGAUGAAAGCAGGGGACCGCAAGGCCUUGCGCGGACGGAGCGGCCGAUGGCAGAUUAGGUAGUUGGUGGGAUAAAAGCUUACCAAGCCGACGAUCUGUAGCCGGUCUGAGAGGAUGAUCAGCCACACUGGGACUGAGACACGGCCCAGACUCCUACAGGAGGCAGCAGUGGGGAAUUUUGGACAAUGGGCGCAAGCCUGAUCCAGCCAUGCCGCGUGCAGGAUGAAGGCCUUCGGGUUGUAAACUGCUUUUGUACGGAACGAAAAGCCUUCUUUUAAUACAGGAGGGUCAUGACGGUACCGUAAGAAUAAGCACCGGCUAACUACGUG